rnacentral:rRNA from 1 species
GGCUUGGCUGGGCGGUCCGCUUUACGGCGUGUACUGUCUGGCUGGGUCUUACCUCUUGGUGAGCCGGCGUGCCCUUUAUUGGCGUGCGUCGGGGAACCAGGACUUUUACCUUGAGAAAAUUAGAGUGUUCAAAGCAGGCCUAUGCCCGAAUACAUUAGCAUGGAAUAAUGAAAUAGGACGUGCGGUUCUAUUUUGUUGGUUUCUAGGAUCACCGUA